rnacentral:lncRNA from 1 species
GGUUGUGAUAAAGAGAUAAAACCUAAGUUGAGAUUUGUAAUCAGCGAAUCAGGCAAGUAUCCUACCUUUGCAUUUUCUUUAUGCAAUGGACAUGAGUAAGAAGUUUCAGAAUUAUUCUAUUCCUGUACAGAUUAUGUACGCUUUGAUUAUCAACAUGUUAGCUCAGAUAUAUAUUCUGUUAAGUUGAUUUCUAAAUGGUUAUACAAGUGUCCCCACUUGGAUAAUCAUGGCAUUUAUUCACAAUGUUGAUACACUUUUUCAAUUACCCGUAUACAUAUAUGUUGAACUACAUAUUAUUGUUGAGCAAGAUUAAAAACCUUCGGGUUUAGAACCUCACAUGUAUGAACAAUCCCGAUAAUGGGAAAAAUUUUAUGCGCUACGGCGGACAAAGGAUGAGCGAUGAAUUUUGUUCAAGUUAUGUAGUAUUGAUCAACACAGGGUACAACGGGGCUGAUUACCCUCCGUGCCCGUAAGUUAUGACGGUUUGCGGAUGAAUUUCUGCUAAACCUUUUCGAAAAUAAAAAAUAAUGUUCAUAGUAUGUUUCUUAAACCCUAUUCAUGGGUGGAGCCUAAUUUUAAGAAAUUGAAAGAGAAUUGUUAUGUGAAUUUUUUAUCAGUACAGAUUACUUCACAACUUUCGAUUCGUUGUAGAAGUGUUAUGGAAAGAGAAUACUUAUAUUCUUUCAGCUUAUAUAUAUAAUUGCUAUUACUUGCUGGGCACUGAAAUGCUCAUUCUUGCUUAAAUUAAAUGUUUUCAGUUACGUAUGAUCGACCUGAAGGCUCAGGCACGAACAAGGGAAAAGAAAAGCUAUUCGAAUGAGAUUUAGUAUGAGUUGAUGGUUAUAGUUAGUAAGACAAUGGAAUCUAUUGUCAGAUAUUGUAAGGAAUGUAUUUGAAGGUCACGUACCUGGGGAAGUAAACUUUGAUGUAUGUAAAUUAAGUUCGAAUGUAUUAUUAUUUAGUAUUAUUCAGCUUAAAGAAAUGGUAUCGUGGAGAACCGAGUUCGGGUUUCAAGUACCUAGAUUUGGGGUCGCCACAGAAAAGAAAUCAAUUUUUGUUAUGAAUAGUACCCCAGGUGAAUAGUAACUGAGUGAAUAGUACUUUGGGAAUAGUAAACCUGUGAAUAGUACUCUGACAUAAAAAAAUUAAAACUUAUCAAGAAUGCUCAG